UGCGCAGGCGGGCUUGUAAGUCAGUGGUGAAAUUCUGCCGCUUAACGGUAGAACUGCCAUUGAUACUGCAAGUCUUGAAUAUGGUUGAGGUAGGCGGAAUGUGUUGUGUAGCGGUGAAAUGCAUAGAUAUGACACAGAACGCCAAUUGCGAAGGCAGCUUACUAGGCCAUUAUUGACGCUGAGGCACGAAAGCGUGGGGAGCGAACAGGAUUAGAUACCCUGGUAGUCC
rnacentral:rRNA from 1 species